UCUAAGUUGGUGGUAAACUCCAUCUAAGGCUAAAUAUAACCACGAGACCGAUAGCGAACAAGUACCGUGAGGGAAAGUUAAAAAGAACUUUGAAGAGAGAAUUCAAGAGUACGUAAAAUCGUUCAGGGGUAAACCUGAGAAACCCGAAAGACCGAAUUGGGAGAUCCAUCGUCAGCGGCGUUAUCUUCCGUGUGAUUCGCGAUGUCCGGGACUUCGGUCCCGUGGCACGCUGCCGCUGCGGUGUGUCCGACGUCGUCGGCGUGCACUUCUCUCCUAGUAAGACGUCGCGACCCAUUGGGUGCCGGCUUACGGCCCGGUUGGUCGACUGUCGCGUCGCGUUCACGCAUGCAUCCGGCAGAUCAUCGGUCGGCCGGCCGGCUACCCAGCGGUAUAGAAUGCAUUUUAAUGGUAUUGAGCCGCACUUUGUGCGUCCUGGCUCGUUAGCAGUCCCGCCUCUCCCGGAUUUACGAACGUAGCGCAGUUGCCGGGUGCUUGGUGUGGAUGUUAGUCGACGAUGUCCUCGGACAGACUCUUACCGGCCGGCGACGCUACUGCUUUGGGUACUUUCAGGA
rnacentral:rRNA from 1 species